UGGGGAAUAUUGCGCAAUGGGCGAAAGCCUGACGCAGCGAUGCCGCGUGAAGGAUGAAGGUCUUAGGAUUGUAAACUUCUGUUAAAUGGGAGAAAAGACUACUUGUGAAUAGCAAGUGGGGAUGAUAGUACCAUUAGAGAAAGCCCCGGCUAACUUCGUGCCAGCAGCCGCGGUAAUACGAAGGGGGCAAGCGUUAUUCGGAAUUAUUGGGCGUAAAGAGCGUGUAGGUGGCACUACAAGUCAAAUGUGAAAGAUCACGGCCUAACUGUGAGGGUGCAUUUGAAACUGUAGGGCUAGAGUUUGGGAGAGAGGAGUGGAAUUCUCGGAGUAGCGGUUAAAUGCGUGGAUCUCGAGAGGAACACCAAUGGCGAAGGCAGCUCCUUGGACCAUGACUGACACU
rnacentral:rRNA from 1 species